CACACCUCCAGGGCUGAGCGCAGGGCACAGGCAAGGGACAAACUUUCUGCUGGUGUAAAAUGGGAGAGCCCCACCAGAUUCCCUGAGACCUCAUUGAUUUACAGCAUCUGAAACUAUGGCCCCUGCUAUGCUUAAAGUCUGAGACAGGCUUUCAUUGGACACAAAAGAAUACGCUUUGGGACGCUUUGAAACCUGUGCUGUGCGCAAGCUAGGAGCUAAACGAUUCCCAAGAUUUUCUGUGAGCCAUGUACAAGCACACAUUGUGCACUGAGUGCAGGCAGGCUUCACCAGACACACAGACACAGAAUACGCUCCCUGGGAUGUGCCAGGGUGAAGAAGAGAUUUCUAAGUCACUUCAUUUUUAUUGGAAACUCUGCGCCAGUCCUCCCACAUCCAGCGCAGUGUGCACUCCUCGUAACCGGCAUUGUCUGAACCUGUGGUAUUUUAAUAAACCUUCCUGCCAAGCCAAAGACACAUCACCUUUGUCCAGAGGAGGAUCCCAGCUGCAGCGAAGUCCAGAGAGUGUGAGCUCUGCUACAAAGCAACACAUAGACAGUCCUGCCACAAAACUGUACAAGCAGGAGACUGAGUUACCAAGCUGAGAGCUCAGGUCUGCUCCUUCUCCCAGGGCAUUGCUUGCCUGGAAGCAGCUGUCUGGAAGAGCUACCCCGUUCCACAGCACUGCCAACUGCAAUAGCUGAGGCCUCAGAAAAAAAGGAGGAACUUGAGAGUCACAAGGUUAAACUACAGAGGUUGGUUUGUUCGUGUGUUUCUUCCCAGAACAUUUUUUUUUUUUUGCUUCUGAGGUAUGCUCACACUCACAGGAUGCUUUCCUCUCAAACAAUAAGGUCUAGAAACUUUUUUUUUAACAGAAUGGAAAGAUUUUCUUCUCAUCGGUCCAUUUCAGGAGUGGAGUUCUUAGAAAAAAAAAUGUUAUCCAAUUCAUAAUAAUAAAAAUUGGAAGAAUUAUGUUACUGAAACCUCA
rnacentral:lncRNA from 1 species